rnacentral:rRNA from 1 species
GUGCCAGCCGCCGCGGUAAUACGGAGGGUGCAAGCGUUAUCCGGAUUCACUGGGUUUAAAGGGUGCGUAGGCGGGCAGGUAAGUCAGUGGUGAAAUCCCCGGGCUUAACUUGGGAACUGCCGUUGAUACUAUCUGUCUUGAAUACCGUGGAGGUGAGCGGAAUAUGUCAUGUAGCGGUGAAAUGCUUAGAUAUGACAUAGAACACCUAUUGCGAAGGCAGCUCACUACACGGUAAUUGACGCUGAGGCACGAAAGCGUGGGGAGCAAACAGGAUUAGAAACCCGCGUAGUCC